rnacentral:rRNA from 1 species
UACGGGGGGGGUAAGCGUUGUUCGGAAUUACUGGGCGUAAAGGGCUCGUAGGCGGCCAACUAAGUCAUACGUGAAAUCCCUCAGCUUAACCGGGGAACUGCGUGUGAUACUGGAUGGCUUGGAUUUGGGAGAGGGAUGCGGAAUUCCCAGUGUAGCGGUGAAAUGCGCAGAUAUCGGGAGGAACACCAAUGGCGAAGGCAGCUCGCUGGGACGUUACUGACACUGAGACGCGAAAGCGUGGGGAGCAAACAGG